rnacentral:lncRNA from 1 species
UAUGACUGAGGCCCCCUGGAGAUUUCAACUCUCAGACUCGUCUACAGGGAACCUCCAGCAAUUCUUCAGCUACUGUUCCGUCUUCCUGCCGUGGCUUUGGCGCCCAUGAGUUUCUGCUCUUUCCAGGGCUCCCCCAGGGCCCCUGCUGACCAGCUCUUUUCCAAGGCUACACUCCACGGGAGGACUGGAGAACAUCUCAGGGAGGCAGCCACAGCCGCCACUGCGUGGGGCCCCAGCAAUGACAUGGUUUUGGACCUUUGUCUACAAAAUCUUCAAAUUGUUACUGGGAACAGAGGUGAGAGGUCUUCAGCCUGAUGUGGACUGUGGCAGCCGGUACUCCGGGGUCCGCUGGCUAGAGGAGGAGCCCCCUAAGUCUCAUCAGUGUGGAGGACCCCCCGAGCCUUGGCCCCUGAGGGACUGAAUUCUGGGCCUUGGCAGCAGCACAAUUCCCAGACACUGCCCUGCCUGGAGCCAGGGUAGACAAAGAUCCUGGGAAGGAAAA